CUUCCCCUUUACAGAAAAAAGAAAACAGAAAGCUUUCAAAGCCUUCUCAACGAUCGGCCUCCCACCGCCGUUCGCAUAUCUGCCGCACCGCCACCAGAUCGACGGCCGACGAAGUGCGAUAAUGGGCUUUUAAAGCCCCUCCGGUGACGGCGCAAGUGGGCAUGGCGGUGGGCAGGUUCCACGGUGGUGGCAGCUAGUGAUGCGACUGGUGGCGGCGGCAAAGGCCCUAUAGUCAGCAUAUGCGGCGCUAGGGUUUCAGAGACUGAAACCCUAGUCUGAAUUUGGUAUUUGGGCCUGAGUCUGUUGGGCUGUUCGGGUUUGGGGCUUAAUUGUAAAAAAGGUUUUAGGUUCUGGGCUCUGUAAUGGGUUUUGGGCUUUGUUGUGUGGGUUUUGGGCCUCGGGUAAAUUUGGGCUUGUACAUUUACAAUUCAAUUCUUUUUUCACUUGUAACUUAAAAACCUAUCAAUUUAAUCCCUAAUACUAAAAUUAUUCAACACUAAAAACAUUUAAAAACUUAAUAA